AGAGUUUGAUCCUGGCUCAGGAUGAACGCUAGCUACAGGCUUAACACAUGCAAGUCGAGGGGCAGCGGUAUCGAAAGCUUGCUUUCGGUAGCCGGCGACCGGCGCACGGGUGAGUAACGCGUAUCGAACCUGCCUCAUACUCGGGAAUAGCCUUGCGAAAGUAAGAUUAAUGCCCGGUGUUUUCAGAGUCCCGCAUGAGGCUUUGAACAAAGAUUUAUCGGUAUGAGAUGGCGAUGCGUCCCAUUAGCUUGUUGGCGGGGUAACGGCCCACCAAGGCAUCGAUGGGUAGGGGUUCUGAGAGGAAGGUCCCCCACAUUGGAACUGAGACACGGUCCAAACUCCUACGGGAGGCAGCAGUGAGGAAUAUUGGUCAAUGGGCGGAAGCCUGAACCAGCCAAGUAGCGUGCAGGAAGACGGCCCUCCGGGUUGUAAACUGCUUUUAGUUGGGAAUAAAACGGGGCUCGUGAGCCCCCUUGCAUGUACCAUCAGAAAAAGGACCGGCUAAUUCCGUGCCAGCAGCCGCGGUAAUACGGAAGGUUCGGGCGUUAUCCGGAUUUAUUGGGUUUAAAGGGGGCGCAGGCGGACCUUUAAGUCAGCUGUGAAAUACGGCGGCUCAACCGUCGAACUGCAGUUGAUACUGGAGGUCUUGAGUGCACACAGGGAUGCUGGAAUUCAUGGUGUAGCGGUGAAAUGCUCAGAUAUCAUGAAGAACUCCGAUCGCGAAGGCAGGCAUCCGGGGUGCAACUGACGCUGAGGCUCGAAAGUGCGGGUAUCAAACAGGAUUAGAUACCCUGGUAGUCCGCACAGUAAACGAUGAAUACUCGCGGUUUGCGAUACAGUGUAAGCCGCCAAGCGAAAGCGUUAAGUAUUCCACCUGGGGAGUACGCCGGCAACGGUGAAACUCAAAGGAAUUGACGG
rnacentral:rRNA from 1 species